UACAGAGGGGGCAAGCGUUGUUCGGAAUUACUGGGCGUAAAGGGCGCGUAGGCGGCCUGUUAAGUCGAACGUGAAAUCCCCGGGCUCAACCCGGGAACUGCGUCCGAUACUGGCAGGCUUGAAUCCGGGAGAGGGAUGCGGAAUUCCAGGUGUAGCGGUGAAAUGCGUUGAUAUCGUUAGGAACUCCGGUGGCGAAGGCGGCACGCUAGACCUCUUCUGACGCUGAGGCACGAAAGCCAGGGGAGCGAACGGG
rnacentral:rRNA from 1 species